UGCCAGCCGCCGCGGUAAUACGGAGGGUGCAAGCGUUAAUCGGAAUUACUGGGCGUAAAGCGCGCGUAGGCGGGUUUGUAAGUCAGAGGUGAAAUCCUGCGGCUCAACCGUAGAACUGCCUUUGAAACUACAAACCUUGAGUUUGGAAGAGAGAGAUGGAAUUCCAGGUGUAGUGGUGAAAUACGUAGAUAUCUGGAAGAACACCAGUGGCGAAGGCGAUCUCUUGGUCCAUAACUGACGCUGAGGCGCGAAAGCGUGGGGAGCAAACAGGAUUAGAUA
rnacentral:rRNA from 1 species